rnacentral:rRNA from 1 species
UACAGAGGGUGCGAGCGUUGUUCGGAAUUACUGGGCGUAAAGCGCGCGCAGGCGGCUUUCUAAGUCCGUCGGUGAAAGACCGGGGCUCAACCCCGUGUCAGCCAUGGAUACUGGGAGGCUGGAGACAGGUAGAGGCAAGCGGAAUUCCGGGUGUAGCGGUGGAAUGCGUAGAGAUCCGGAAGAACACCGGAGGCGAAGGCGGCUUGCUGGACCUGGUCUGACGCUGAGGCGCGAAGCGUGGGGAGCGAACAGG